CAGGCAGCGAGGGUCUUUGCUUCAUACAUCAUUCACCAGCCUCUCAGCCCAGAGCCAGGGCGCCAAGGAGUGACCGCUGUGUCCAGAGCAAUGUGGUGGCCUAUGCUGUGGGCCUUUCCAGUACUGCUCUGUCUCUGUUCCUCCCAGGCCCUGGGUCAGGAGAGUGGUGCCUGUCCAGAUGUUAAGAUCGUAGGUCUGGGGGCCCAGGACAAGGUGGCUGUCAUCCAAAGUUGCCCUAGCUUUCCUGGCCCACCUGGACCCAAAGGGGAGCCUGGAAGUCCUGCUGGGAGAGGUAGCAAUCUGGAUGGGAAAGGGAUCCCCCUUCACCUCCCCUUGGUCAGUCUUUCUCCAAUCCUACCUAGGAGAUGGGAUCCAGUUUCAUCCUUGUGUUUACAGGGGAACGGGGCUUACAGGGCAGCCCAGGGAAGAUGGGACCCGCCGGCAGCAAAGGAGAGCCAGGAACCAUGGGGCCCCCAGGAGUCAAAGGUCAGAAGGAGCUGGGAGACGCACUGUGCCGGAGAGGUUUUUCAACGACGAGUGGAUGGGUCCAUCAACUUCUACCGAGACUGGGAUUCCUAUAAAAGAGGCUUUGGCAACCUGGGCACAGAGUUCUGGUUGGGUAAUGACUACCUUCACCUGCUCACAGCCAAUGGGAACCAAGAGCUCCGGGUUGACUUAAGAGAGUUCCAAGGUCAAACCUCCUUUGCCAAAUACAGCUCAUUCC
rnacentral:lncRNA from 1 species